GACAGAGGUCCCAAGCGUUGUUCGGAUUUACUGGGCGUAAAGGGCGCGUAGGUGGUGCGGUAAGUCUGAUGUGAAAUCUCCGAGCUUAACUCGGAAAUGGCAUUGGAAACUACCUUGCUAGAGGGUUGGAGGGGGGACUGGAAUACUUGGUGUAGCAGUGAAAUGCGUAGAUAUCAAGUGGAACACCAGUGGCGAAGGCGAGUCCCUGGACAACUCCUGACACUGAGGCGCGAAAGCUAGGGGAGCAAACAGG
rnacentral:rRNA from 1 species